rnacentral:tRNA from 1 species
GUGCCAUUAGCUCAAUUGGUAGAGCAUUCGACUUUUAAUCGAAAGGUCUCGGGUUCAAAUCCCGAAUGGCGCACCA